rnacentral:lncRNA from 1 species
AUAGUAGGGGUUCAAUAUACCGCAGGGGGGUCAAAAUACCAUGGCUAAGUAAAAUUUUCAAAAUAUCUUUUCCAGUAUAUUAAAUACAUACAAACUACUUAUUGGAGUAAUAUAACUAUGUUAAGGAUUUAGAAUAGCUUGAAUUUUUGAAAUUCAAGGUCUAUAGUAGGGGGUUCAAUAUACCGCAGGGGGGUCAAAAUACCAUGGCUAAGUAAAAUUUUCAAAACAUCUUUU